CGGGGUGUAGCGCAGCUUGGUCAAGCGCGUCUGUUUUGGGAACAGAAGGUCGCAGGUUCAAAUCCUGCCACUCCGA
rnacentral:tRNA from 1 species